UGUUAUGUAGAUUUGACUUUGAAACCAUAUAAAUGUUUCACAUAAUUAUUUAAAAAUUAAACCAAAAUGAGAAAAAAGUAGAAAACCCUAAAAAGUCAAAAGCAAAAUCAGGCAGAUGUACCUAAUUUUGUAUCAUCUUUGUGGCUUAACCAUGCAGACAGAAAUAAUUUAAGAUCACUUUAAACGCUGUGAUUUGACUCUAUCCAUCCCUAGAGGGAUAGACUGUAAAGGAGAGAGAAAAGAACCGCAUAAAGGCUUAAUCUGUUUUCAGUAUUCAUAUUUCUAGUAACAGUAUUGCUGCUGUCAUUCUGAAACUGUGACCUAAAGCAAGUUAUUAUGUUUACAUCUUUGGGAAUUGAGAUUUCCACCCUAAAAGAAAAGAGAUACAAAUAUAAAAUGAAAGAAGUUAGGUAAGAGCAUGGCUUUCUAAAUUUGUUGGAAAUAUCAGUAUGAGCUCAUAAUGUAUUUCCUCUUAAACAAUGUAUUUCUUGACCCUGACCGUCGGAAAAGCACAGACGCCUUGAGUGACCCAGGGGCAGUGAGCACCCCUGGUGUCCAUAUGGUGGCCUCUCCUUGAAGAAAUGGCUGACUUAAGGUCUGGGGCAAGACGUGUACAAGAUAAACGUGGUGCAUCGUUUUAUACCAGAGAGCAAGGAAGCUUUCAGGGACUCCUGGUCCUGCUGGGAUCGUAUUACUGCCCGGGAGCUUCCCACCACGGUGGACUGGGAGAGGCUGCCAUCCACUGUGGUUCUAGGAGUAGCUGGAUUUAACUUAGCCUGACUUGAAUUCAUGACUCAGGAAGGCAUGUUUUCUCUCCCCGGCCCCCCACCCCUUUCAGAUAGUUCCUUUAAGUUCUCACCGUCCUGUCGUGUUUGUUUUUAAUCUUAAAAUCUGUCACAUCUUCUGCCCUCUCCUUCCCUCCCCCACGGCUCUUCAAACUUUGCACUUUCCAGUGGAGCCCAGCAGAUCCUGUUGACUCUGAUGGGUGGAGAGAUAAGAGGACUUACGGUUACACUCUGAUAAAAACACGCAUUUUAUUGUACACUGGAGGGAGGAAUUGAUGGAAGACAGAAGAGUAUUAGUGCAGGCCGGUUCAUGAUCACUGACUGUGCGGUUCAUGCCACGCUAAGAAGUGGGGUAGGAGCCAGGCAGCAGAGACUUCGCAAUGCAGCACGUUGAGGGGUGUAGUGGAGUGUGCUGGACCCGGGCUGAGGUCUGAGGUGCUGGGGAAGACACCAGCAAAGGGGGAGCAAGUCUACCAGGAGAGAUGAGAAUGUGUCAAGAGUCAUGGGUGUCCCCACAAUGGGUGGUCCCUGCACCUGGGAGCUCAGGGGAUCCGUGGCCAGCACUCUCUUGGUUACUGAUGAUACAAACACAAUCUGUACAUGUUUAACAGAAAAGGAAUUUCUUCACUACUUCAGAAGCUCAGGCUCUGGCUGGCUUCAGGCUUAGCUGGAUCCAGGAGUUUCGGUGAUGCUGUGUCUCUCUUUUCCCGUCCACCCUGCAGCUCUGCUUCCCUCUGUGUGUGAGCCUCACUCUGUCUUAGUACAAGGCCCCCCCCCCUUGUGCCUGAGGAUGACCGGCGUGACACUUCAGUGUCAUAUUAUCCUGGUAUGGCAGCACUAAUUAAACGAGUUUUCUCCCGUUGCUCCAGCAGAGAAGGUUUACCAGUUGGGAACAGGAAGACAUGCAAUUUAAACACUGCUCCAUCUCGUAAGAAAAAAAGGUAAAACCCAACCACAUCCAGUCUGUGCAGGAGCAGAGAAAAACCAGGAUAUGAGGAGGAAUCAGGAUUCAGUGCUCCGUCGCCGACCAGAGGAUGAGCUUGGGUUAGUCCCUUCGUCUCAGCGGGACUCAGUUUCCCCUCUGUGAAAGAAUGGCUCGGAGUGAAAGUUUCGUGAGGUUCCCUUAACACGACAAGGUCUAGGUUCUGUUUUCAGAAACUGAUAUCCGGGUUGGGGAACUUAAGCUUCGUGUCACACUUAGACACGUUGUGGCGUUUUGGAAAGACCAGGGCCGGGGUGGGUACUUCCAGAACCUGGGGACUGGGUUUUUCUUUAAUCUGUCUAAGUAAUGUGCAGGGGAGCCUCGGUGACCACACGUGCCCUGACCCCUCAUAAAGCCCCUGUCCUGUUGUGGCCUGGUCAUAAACUUUCCUGGAAAGGUCAUGUGAAUGUAUCGUUCCCCAAUACUUUAUAAUUAGAAAUUAUGGUCUCUCUUCCACGUGACACUUUUGAGCUUUAGCAGAUCUUAAAUUAAAACUGUAUACAUGUUUUAAAAUGUUCUUCAGAAAACUUUAAUUGCACAAGUUGAAAAUUUGACUGAAAAAGUCCUGAACGCUUAUCUAAAUAAACAUACAGAUCUGACCUCAAAUGUUUCAAAAAAUAAAUUUGGAAUUAAACGUG